UACGUAGGAGGCAAGCGUUGUCCGGAAUUACUGGGUGUAAAGCGCGUGUAGGCGGUGGGGGAAGUCUGCUGUGAAAGCGCCUGGCUCAACCGGGCGAGGUCGGCGGAAACUCUCUCACUGGAGGCCGGUAGAGGGGGGUGGAAUUCCCGGUGUAGUGGUGAAAUGCGUAGAGAUCGGGAGGAACACCCGUGGCGCAGGCGGCCCCCUGGGCCGGGCCUGACGCUGAGACGCGAAAGCGUGGGGAGCGAACGGG
rnacentral:rRNA from 1 species